UCACCUCAUGUGAGUUCGUUGGCCAAUGC
rnacentral:piRNA from 1 species